GCUGCCUGACCACCAUGGGAGCAGAAGGUCAGGCCUGGCUUGGGGAAGCACCUUCAGGUUCUGGUCUAAUUACUUGCUCCUUUGACUUCUGCAAAAGAAUGGAAGUAUUUUUUUGAGAUGUGGCAGGUUCAGAGAGAAAUCAUAGUGUGCUGGGGAGUUUAAGUGGGGCAUGGCUUAUUUAAUUCUCUUGUCUCCACAUAGCAGCUGGGCUUUUUAUUCCAACUAAUUUAGGUAGGAAGCUUGUUUUUAUUUCAUUAACUUGCAGCGUGAAUGUCACCAACCACAGCUGAUAACAGUGACCGCUGCCAGAAAGUCACCAACACAUUUAUGUUUGUGGAUUCACGGUACUCCUUAUUAUGCCUGUAAAACACAUAGCAGUGAAUCUACACUAUUUAUUCUAGAACAGGAACUACCUAAUGCUCAACUGUGUUAAAAAUGCAAAAGUGAAAGAAACCUGAUCUUGCCUCCAUCUCUCCAACAGCUGCCAUCACUGGGGAAGAACCAACUUCAGAGCCUGUGACAGUGUUUUCUGAUGAGCUAUUGGCACAUUAGAGACCUACACGUUCACCUGGAGAGGAGCACACCUGUUCUGUCAGCCCCUGUGCAUGGUAAACACAUGAAUGUUGAUUCUCUGCCCAUGAGAUAAACCUUCAUUGUGACAGUAAUGGAUGCUGCUUGCAAACAGGAAACGAGGUUAAGAGCUGACACCUGAAACCAGACUCAGCACCUUGGACUUAGUCCUUGAAAUAAACUCAAAUGGCUAAUAGUAACUCAAGAAGCUCAUGUUUGAGAACUUAGUGGGGAACUCUGCAUACCGAAGCAGCUUUCACAGAUCAAGACUCUAAAGAAACUCUGGCUAAACUAGAACACCAGCUACAAGGGAAAGGUGCAGUGUCCCAUUACUUGGUGUCUUUGUGAAGAACAUGUGCAUUGGUUCCUAACCUGAUUUCAUGAUCCCUGAAAUGUGGACAUACACAGUCCAGCACAGUGGAAUAUUCAUUAAUAAAACAGGUAAGGCUAAUGCUCUUCCAUGCCUAGGGGGUGUAACACAUAUGGUAUUUUAAAAAAUCCAUGGUCAAUGGCCAGCCCUCAGCCAAAUAAGUAACUGGGAGGACCAUGCUGAUCUGGAUUCCAAAGAGUGGUGUGUCACUAUUGUAAAGCCUCCCAAGCCAUUGCUCCAGUUCUGUGAGUCCUGCAUGGGAAGAUUCAACCACACAGCUGUGAAUGGAAGAGGCAGAACUGAAACAUGGCCCAGAUUGUGAAAAACACUGAAAACCCCUGACUUUGUAAAUCAAUAUCAAUCAAUGCCCUGCAAAGUACAUCAUAAAUCUGGAUGUUCAAGAGAGCUAACCCUGAGCUGGGCAAGAUUGGUUUCAUGGCCGGAGGUCCAGACCUCCAGUUUCCCAAGAAGAAAGCAGGUCUCUAACUGCAGCACUUCCUUUCUCCCAAGAAGAAGUGAAUUACUUUGUUGCAGACACCCUGCUGGCUGCUGCACUUCCUAAGGCGAAGUCCUGUCUUCAGAAAUGGGGUACUCCGAAUGUCACUGUACAGCAGCACGUCACAUUGAAGUCAUUCCAACACUACAGCCCUCACCUUUGCUUUAUGGUUUUAUUCAUGGUGAUGGAAACACUUAUUCCCACAA